GACGAACGCUGGCGGCGUGCCUAAUACAUGCAAGUCGAGCGAGCGGCGGACGGGUGAGUAAUGUAUGGGGACUGCCCGAUAGAGGGGGAUAACUACGGGAAACGGUGGCUAAUACCGCAUACUAUCGGAUAACCCAUAUGGGAUUAGCUAGUAGGUGGGGUGAAGGCUCACCUAGGCGACGAUCUCUCGCUGGUCUGAGAGGAUGAUCAGCCACACUUGGACUGAGAGACGGCCCAUACUCCUACGGAGGCAGCAGUGGUGUAUAUUGCACAAUGGGCGCAAGCCUUAUGCAGCCAUGCCGCGUGUAUGAAGAAGGCCUUAGGGUUGUAAAGUACGUUCAGCGGGGAGGCGUUACCCGCAGAAGAAGCACCGGCUAACUCCGUGCCAGCAGCCGCGGUAAUUC
rnacentral:rRNA from 1 species